rnacentral:rRNA from 1 species
GAUGAACGCUGGCGCCGUGCUUAACACAUGCAAGUCGAACGGGAAACCUUUUAUUGAAGCUUCGGCAGAUUUAGCUGGUUUCUAGUGGCGGACGGGUGAGUAACGCGUGGGUAACCUGCCUUGUACAGGGAGAUAACAGUCAGAAAUGACUGCUAAUACCGCAUAAGCGCACAGGACCGCAUGGUCCAGUGUGAAAAACUCCGGUGGUAUAAGAUGGACCCGCGUUGGAUUAGCUUGUUGGUGGGGUAACGGCCCACCAAGGCGACGAUCCAUAGCCGGCCUGAGAGGGUGAACGGCCACAUUGGGACUGAGACACGGCCCAGACUCCUACGGGAGGCAGCAGUGGGGAAUAUUGCACAAUGGGGGAAACCCUGAUGCAGCGACGCCGCGUGAAGGAAGAAGUAUCUCGGUAUGUAAACUUCUAUCAGCAGGGAAGAAAAUGACGGUACCUGACUAAGAAGCC